UUAAGCGACUAAGCGUACACGGUGGAUGCCCUGGCAGUCAGAGGCGAUGAAGGACGUGCUAAUCUGCGAAAAGCGUCGGUAAGGUGAUAUGAACCGUUACAGCCGGCGAUGUCCGAAUGGGGAAACCCAGUGCAAUUCGUUGCACUAUCGUUAACUGAAUACAUAGGUUAACGAGGCGAACCGGGGGAACUGAAACAUCUAAGUACCCCGAGGAAAAGAAAUCAACCGAGAUUCCCCCAGUAGCGGCGAGCGAACGGGGAGCAGCCCAGAGUCUGAAUCAGCUUGUGUGUUAGUGGAACGGUCUGGAAAGUCCGACGGUACAGGGUGAUAGUCCCGUACACCAAAAUGCACAGGUUGUGAACUCGAAGAGUAGGGCGGGACACGUGGUAUCCUGUCUGAAUAUGGGGGGACCAUCCUCCAAGGCUAAAUACUCCUGACUGACCGAUAGUGAACCAGUACCGUGAGGGAAAGGCGAAAAGAACCCCGGCGAGGGGAGUGAAAAAGAACCUGAAACCGUGUACGUACAAGCAGUGGGAGCACCUUCGGGUGUGACUGCGUACCUUUUGUAUAAUGGGUCAGCGACUUAUAUUCUGUAGCAAGGUUAACCGUAUAGGGGAGCCGCAGGGAAACCGAGUCUUAACUGGGCGUUAAGUUGCAGGGUAUAGACCCGAAACCCGGUGAUCUAGCCAUGGGCAGGUUGAAGGUUGGGUAACACUAACUGGAGGACCGAACCGACUAAUGUUGAAAAAUUAGCGGAUGACUUGUGGCUGGGGGUGAAAGGCCAAUCAAACCGGGAGAUAGCUGGUUCUCCCCGAAAGCUAUUUAGGUAGCGCCUCGUGAACUCAUCUUCGGGGGUAGAGCACUGUUUCGGCUAGGGGGUCAUCCCGACUUACCAACCCGAUGCAAACUACGAAUACCGAAGAAUGUUAUCACGGGAGACACACGGCGGGUGCUAACGUCCGUCGUGAAGAGGGAAACAACCCAGACCGCCAGCUAAGGUCCCAAAGUCAUGGUUAAGUGGGAAACGAUGUGGGAAGGCACAGACAGCCAGGAUGUUGGCUUAGAAGCAGCCAUCAUUUAAAGAAAGCGUAAUAGCUCACUGGUCGAGUCGGCCUGCGCGGAAGAUGUAACGGGGCUAAACCAUGCACCGAAGCUGCGGCAGCGACACUAUGUGUUGUUGGGUAGGGGAGCGUUCUGUAAGCCUGCGAAGGUGUGCUGUGAGGCAUGCUGGAGGUAUCAGAAGUGCGAAUGCUGACAUAAGUAACGAUAAAGCGGGUGAAAAGCCCGCUCGCCGGAAGACCAAGGGUUCCUGUCCAACGUUAAUCGGGGCAGGGUGAGUCGACCCCUAAGGCGAGGCCGAAAGGCGUAGUCGAUGGGAAACAGGUUAAUAUUCCUGUACUUGGUGUUACUGCGAAGGGGGGACGGAGAAGGCUAUGUUAGCCGGGCGACGGUUGUCCCGGUUUAAGCAUGUAGGCUGGUUAUCCAGGCAAAUCCGGAUAAUCAAGGCUGAGGUGUGAUGACGAGGCACUACGGUGCUGAAGUAACAAAUGCCCUGCUUCCAGGAAAAGCCUCUAAGCAUCAGGUAACAUCAAAUCGUACCCCAAACCGACACAGGUGGUCAGGUAGAGAAUACCAAGGCGCUUGAGAGAACUCGGGUGAAGGAACUAGGCAAAAUGGUGCCGUAACUUCGGGAGAAGGCACGCUGGUGUGUAGGUGAAGUCCCUGCGGAUGGAGCUGAGACCAGUCGAAGAUACCAGCUGGCUGCAACUGUUUAUUAAAAACACAGCACUGUGCAAACACGAAAGUGGACGUAUACGGUGUGACGCCUGCCCGGUGCCGGAAGGUUAAUUGAUGGGGUUAUCCGUAAGGAGAAGCUCUUGAUCGAAGCCCCGGUAAACGGCGGCCGUAACUAUAACGGUCCUAAGGUAGCGAAAUUCCUUGUCGGGUAAGUUCCGACCUGCACGAAUGGCGUAAUGAUGGCCAGGCUGUCUCCACCCGAGACUCAGUGAAAUUGAACUCGCUGUGAAGAUGCAGUGUACCCGCGGCAAGACGGAAAGACCCCGUGAACCUUUACUAUAGCUUGACACUGAACAUUGAGCCUUGAUGUGUAGGAUAGGUGGGAGGCUUUGAAGCGUGGACGCCAGUCUGCGUGGAGCCAACCUUGAAAUACCACCCUUUAAUGUUUGAUGUUCUAACGUUGGCCCCUGACCGGGGUUGCGGACAGUGUCUGGUGGGUAGUUUGACUGGGGCGGUCUCCUCCCAAAGCGUAACGGAGGAGCACGAAGGUUAGCUAAUCCUGGUCGGACAUCAGGAGGUUAGUGCAAUGGCAUAAGCUAGCUUGACUGCGAGCGUGACGGCGCGAGCAGGUGCGAAAGCAGGUCAUAGUGAUCCGGUGGUUCUGAAUGGAAGGGCCAUCGCUCAACGGAUAAAAGGUACUCCGGGGAUAACAGGCUGAUACCGCCCAAGAGUUCAUAUCGACGGCGGUGUUUGGCACCUCGAUGUCGGCUCAUCACAUCCUGGGGCUGAAGUAGGUCCCAAGGGUAUGGCUGUUCGCCAUUUAAAGUGGUACGCGAGCUGGGUUUAGAACGUCGUGAGACAGUUCGGUCCCUAUCUGCCGUGGGCGCUGGAGAAUUGAGGGGGGCUGCUCCUAGUACGAGAGGACCGGAGUGGACGCAUCACUGGUGUUCGGGUUGUCAUGCCAAUGGCACUGCCCGGUAGCUAAAUGCGGAAGAGAUAAGUGCUGAAAGCAUCUAAGCACGAAACUUGCCCCGAGAUGAGUUCUCCCUGAGACUUUAAGUCUCCUGAAGGAACGUUGAAGACGACGACGUUGAUAGGCCGGGUGUGUAAGCGCAGCGAUGCGUUGAGCUAACCGGUACUAAUGAACCGUGAGGCUUAACCUU
rnacentral:rRNA from 22 species